rnacentral:lncRNA from 13 species
CUCUUAGUACAUUGGCUGUAUGUCUAAAGAACAAGCAGAUAGGGAAGGGGCAGAAGGUCCCGCUAUGCCCAGAGUCCCCAGGCCUCAGACCUGUGGCCAGGCUUUCCGGGGAGACCUCUCUCCUCCCCAAGCCCCAGUUCACCUGAGGAUGGAGGCUAUAUUCUGUAUGCUAAGCUUAGAGUGAGCCCAGCAUAUGCACAGAAUCUAACAGCUCUCACUGAGGGACCCUCAGUAGUUCCCAGUUACCCACACAGUCAAGUCCACACAACUUAGCCUGACACUUUAGACCCAAUUCCCUCUACCUUUUCUCCUCCAUUCUCUUUCCUCACUUGCAGCAAGGAGGGGAAACCUGCAGCAACUGUGCAGCCUCUUGUCCCUGAAGAAAUGCAUUAGAUACCACUUGGCUAAAAAGGAGUGUCACUUUAAAUUCACAACCACAAAUCUCAGUUUGGUCCUUAGCAUUUAUUCCAAUUACCUAUUUCUGUAUAAUACAUUAAAGGCUUGAGACAACAAUAUCUCUCAUUAAUUCUGUGAGUCAUGAACUUGGGAGAGGCUCAGCUCGGUUGUUCAGGGUCUCAUAGGGUGGCAGACACAUGGUGACUGGAGCAUCUCUCUCUUCAGGAACUCCCAGAGCCUUUCCAUGUGCAGGGGCUGGUUGGGCUUCCUCACAGCAUGGCAACUCAAGGCUCCAGCCUGAGUACCCCAUAAGGCAGAAGCUUUGAUAACUAGCCUCCAAAGUGAUGCGGUGUCCCUUCUGCUGCAGUCCAUUGGUAGCACAGUGCCCUCCCGAGGGGGACCACGUCCUACCUGUGUCUGUGGGCCUUGUGACUGGUGACCCUCCCACCCUCCUGACAGGCAGUGACCUCGCCAGGGGCUAUGUCUCCUUCAUUUCUGUAGCCCUGGCACUCAGCAGAGCCUCGGCACACAGCAGGCGCCCACUCAAUGUUUGCUAA